rnacentral:lncRNA from 1 species
AAAAAAAUUGCAGAAAGCAUAGGAGGAAAAGAAAGAAGUAGCUACAGAGGAAAAAAAAAGAAGAAUCAACGACAAAAGAAAAGGGGGAGCUAAAAAAGAAAAAAAGAGGGUGACAAAGAGGAUAUCUUCUCUUGCAAUCGCCUAUUAAAAGGAGAAGAGGAGAAAACCAAAAAGAUAGAUCUACAGGAGAGAGAGGAGCUAGAGAGAGAAAGUAGAAACCAUAUUUGCAAAGCUUAGAGAUCGAGAGACGGAGUACGAGUUUCGUCAGAGAACACAGCAAACGCAAGCGAAGGGCAGCAACAAACUGAGUAGGAGAAGCAUACCAGUGUGGAAACAGGCUGGUGUGGUGCCAACGAGAAAGGUAAAAGAGCUCGGUGAAAGAAGAAAAAUAACCACGUAAUAUUUAUUUGAAAUUUUAUUAGCAUAUUUUCUUUUUGAAGAAACUUUUAGGAAUUUUUUUUAUCAAACUUGAAUGGGAAUGUUUGUGAUAUUUCAUACAGUUAUUUUUAAUUAUUAUAUGAUUAUAUUUUUCGCAAUAAUAAUUGUUAUUGCUCAAUCCACCGUGUGGGAGUGAUUGAUAUAGCCUAAAUCAAAGUAUGUUUUAGAAUUAAUUUUUAGCUUUCUUCUAUUUGCAGUUUAACAAUAUUAAACUUAAUAUGGUUAUGAGAAUUGACCAACUCAUAACUUGAUUUGUGAUUGAUAGUUUUAAAGUGGUAGAAGUAAAGUUUUAUUAAUUAGAUAUAUAUUGUUAAGUGUUAAUUAUGAUUUGAACGGAAGUAAUAUAAUUAAAUUGACGUGGAGAAAUCAAAGUAUCAUAGAUUUAAUUGAAUCAAAUUAAUAAUUACUACAAAAUGUUAAUAGUUGUUAAUUGAUAUAUCUAGAGAAUACUGGAAAAGAAACUGAAAAUACAUUAGGAUAGCUCGACCAUUGCAGAUUAGAUUAAAUCAAUUACGAAAUUAAAAUUAGAAUGUACCUAAAAUUUAGGUAAAAUCAAUUACUCUGGUAUAUUUUCGUUGAUAAGUUUUUGUCAAUUUAAUUACUAUACUUUGAUUAAAUUAUUUAAAAAAAUUUCUCUUCAUAAAUAUAAUUUCGAUUUCUAGAUAAUAAUAAAAUUUCUACAAUUUUGGUACUUGAUAUAUAGCAAUCCCUGUAAGACGAUACUCUAUUAAUCACUUUAUUACUUGAACAGUUUCGUGCACUUGUUUAUUCGCUUAUCAAAUUUUUGGCGCCAUUACCGAGGAUUGUCAGUAUCAUUAUCAAUACUAAGGGUUAUUAUUAGUGUAGAGUUUAUUCUCUUGUUUUUUAGUUUACUUGCAUUUUAGUUUUUAUUUUUAUUUUUAUUUUAUUUUUUUAUUUUUUAUUAUUUUUAAUUUAAGCAUAAUUUUUUUAUUUUGCUUAUUUUAUUUUAUUUUUAAUUAUUAUUAUUUUUUUGUUGUGAACAUAUUAUGUCAUUUCUUUUUAUGUUUUCAGUUGGUAUAUGAGUCGAUCGAACAACAUAAAACUCUUUAUAAAUCUAGAAUAAAAAAGACUUGUAGACAACUGAAUCGCGAGAGAAAGGAACACUUAGUAACAGAAAGACAAACAAGAGUUGAGAUGACUAAAUACAAAAAAUUGGGUGAGUAAGGGAUGUUUUGAACGAAAAUAAUAGGAUAGCACUCAAAGACUUUGCUACUCCUCUUUUAGGAGCUUUGUUAAGUAUAGUUUGAUCGAGUGUUAAUGCUAACAACUUCGAGAUUAAACCUGCCAUCAUUUAAAUGAUCUAAACCUCAAUUUUGUUUGGGAGUUUUCUAAAUAAUGAUCAUAAUGCACAUCUCUAUAAUUAUUUAGAAAUUUAUGAUACUUUUAAGUAGAAUGGGAUUUCUAGUGAUGCAAUUAAACUUAGGUUUUUCCCUUUUUCGUUAAGAGAUAAAGCUAAAAAUUGUUUGCAUUCUCUUCCUACAGGAACAAUUACUACAUUAGAAGAUCUAACUCAAAAAAUUUUGGCUAAAUUUUUUCCGCUAGACAGGAUAGCAAGGAUGAGAAAUAAUAUCACAAGUUUCUACAAGAUGGAUGGGGAAACGUUGUAUGAGGCAUGAAAGCAAGUAAAGGAGUUGAUUAGAAGAUGUCCUCAUUAUGGGUUACCUAAGUGGUUGUUGGUCCAAAUGUUUUACAACAAAU